AUUGCAUCAUAUUAACAUUGCUCGCUCUACGCGAAAAUAGAUCAAAGUAAAUUAAGUUGUGUUUAACUGUUCAUACUCAUAUGACAACAGUGAAAUAAAUAAUCUUACACAUAGCACAUGGCAUUUGUUGAGUUAAUAAAUUAUUUUUAUGUAAUGUCUAAACUGGUCAUUCCACAUGACAACAGUUAAGUUAAUAAAUUAUUUCAUAAAAUGUAACUGCUCAUUCCACAUGACAACAGCUAAGUAAAUAAAUUAUGUAAUAAUGUGUAACCGCUCAUUCCACAUGACAACAGUUAAGUAAAUAAAUUAUUUCAUAAUGCGUAGCUGCUCAUUCCACAUGACAACAGUCAAAUGACAUUUUCAU